CAGGACGAACGCUGGCGGCGUGCCUAACACAUGCAAGUCGAGCGAGGAGAUCCUUCGGGAUGAUCCUAGCGGCGGACGGGUGAGUAACACGUGGGCAACCUGCCUCAUAGAGAGGAAUAGCCUUCCGAAAGGGAGAUUAAUACCUCAUAACAUUGCAGUUUCGCAUGGAACAGCAAUUAAAGGAGUAAUCCGCUAUGAGAUGGGGCCCGCGGCGCAUUAGCUAGUUGGUGAGGUAACGGCUCACCAAGGCGACGAUGCGUAGCCGACCUGAGAGGGUGAUCGGCCACAUUGGGACUGAGACACGGCCCAGACUCCUACGGGAGGCAGCAGUGGGGAAUAUUGCACAAUGGGGGAAACCCUGAUGCAAGCAACGCCGCGUGAGUGAUGACGGCCUUCGGGUUGUAAAGCUCUGUCUUCAGGGACGAUAAUGACGGUACCUGAGGAGGAAGCCACGGCUAACUACGUGCCAGCAGCCGC
rnacentral:rRNA from 1 species